rfam:Saitoella complicata NRRL Y-17804 DNA, contig: contig031, whole genome shotgun sequence.
GCGUCAUUGGUGUAAUGGUUAGCAUUGAAGCCUUCCAAGCUUUAGUUCCUGGUUCGAUUCCUGGAUGACGCA